UGUCGGUCAAAUAUGCAACCUUUUUCAAGAAGCAACUUUAAAGCAAUCUUUUUAUUGUUGCAAGUUAGAGCAUAAGUGGAUAUUGAUUCAAACUGUGACUGGGGGGAAAGGUAUCAGUCAUAGCUUGACGGUUUUAGUUGCAGCGGCAUCAUGGCAGCAGUUGACUUUCUACCACUUUUACACUCUUUUCUGGAGACCAGAAAGACAAUAACAAUAGGAUUAUAUAGAUGAUGAAGGCCAGGAGAAGUACAUGGAGAAGAGACAAGCAAGAAAGGCACAAAGGAGAGAGGGAGACCCGAAACAUAAAGGCAAAACAGACACACAGAUGAAGAAAAACAGGGGUACAGACAAAGAAAUGGAAGACAGGGACAAAGAGAAGUAGUGAAAGAUAAUAAGAGACAAGAUGGAUGGACAACAACUUCUGCCAGUGAGCCCUUGCUGAACAAGUUUGGGUUCCAUACCUCUGCACACCACCUUUCUCUACUUUGGAGAAGCCAGCAACAAGUAGGACUUUCUUUCUCAUAUGAUUAUGAUGAACAAUGGACAUUUGGAGAUUAAGGACUUUUCAGUAAUGUACUGGCUGCAACCUUUAAAAACUCAUACCUCUCUCUUUCUCUACCCCCCGCACCGCACCGCACCACACACACAAACACACACUCUCUCUCUCUCACACAAACACUCUCUCACCCACCCACCUACACCCCAUUAUGGAAUGGUGAUAGAUGAACAAUGGAAUUUUGAAGAUUAAGGACAUUUCAAUAAUGUACUGGCUGCAUCCUUUACAAACUCUCAAUCCCUCUGUAUCUGUCUCUCAACCACUGUAUUGCCUGUCACUAAAUGUCUCUCUCUCUCUCACUCACUCACUCUCUCUCUCUCUCACACACAAACACUCUCUCUCUCUCUCUCGUACAUUUACCUUGGCAUCAGUCUUAUCCCAUUGAAAUGUAGACAUUUCGAUAGAGUAAUAUCCAUUUGUGUUGUAGUUCUGAUAACAGUAAGAUCAUUUUGUAUCUCUGGUAAUGUGUAUCUGGUAAUAUGUAUCCAUUUGUGUUCUACUUCUGAUCAGAAUAAGAUCAUUUUAUAU